rnacentral:rRNA from 1 species
UACGUAGGGGGCAAGCGUUGUCCGGAUUUAUUGGGCGUAAAGAGCGUGUAGGCGGCUAGGUAGGUCCGUUGUGAAAACUCGAGGCUCAACCUCGAGACGCCGGUGGAAACCAUCUAGCUAGAGUCCGGAAGAGGAGAGUGGAAUUCCUGGUGUAGCGGUGAAAUGCGCAGAUAUCAGGAAGAACACCCGUGGCGAAGGCGGCUUUCUGGGACGGUACUGACGCUGAGACGCGAAAGCUAGGGGAGCAAACGGG